GGUGACGCAGUAGGAUAAGAUGUGCGCACUAUUGGAUGUGCGUCUAAGCACUUAGGCAUGCUUGAUAGGCAAAUCCGUCGAGCUAAGCUGAGGUGUGAUGGGGAGCCAUUUAUGGCGAAGUAUCUGAUUCCACACUGCCAAGAAAAGCCUCUAUCGAGUGAAUAGGUGCCCGUACCGCAAACCGACACAGGUAGGUGAGGAGAGAAUCCUAAGGCCAUCGGAAGAAUUGCUGUUAAGGAACUCGGCAAAUUGACCCCGUAACUUCGGGAGAAGGGGUGCCUACGAAAGUAGGCCGCAGAGAAUAGGCCCAAGCAACUGUUUAGCAAAAACACAGGUCUCUGCUAAAGCGAAAGCUGAUGUAUAGGGGCUGACGCCUGCCCGGUGCUGGAAGGUUAAGGGGAACACUUAGCGUAAGCGAAGGUGUGAACUUA
rnacentral:rRNA from 1 species